rnacentral:rRNA from 1 species
GAUGAACGCUGGCGGCGUGCCUAAUACAUGCAAGUCGAGCGAACAGAUAAGGAGCUUGCUCCUUGACGUUAGCGGCGGACGGGUGAGUAACACGUGGAUAACCUACCUAUAAGACUGGGAUAACUUCGGGAAACCGGAGCUAAUACCGGAUAACAUAUUGAACCGCAUGGUUCAAUAGUGAAAGGCGGCUUUGCUGUUACUUAUAGAUGGAUCCGCGCCGUAUUAGCUAGUUGGUAAGGUAACGGCUUACCAAGGCAACGAUACGUAGCCGACCUGAGAGGGUGAUCGGCCACACUGGAACUGAGACACGGUCCAGACUCCUACGGGAGGCAGCAGUAGGGAAUCUUCCGCAAUGGGCGAAAGCCUGACGGAGCAACGCCGCGUGAGUGAUGAAGGUCCUCGGAUCGUAAAACUCUGUUAUCAGGGAAGAACAAAUGUGUAAGUAACUGUGCACAUCUUGACGGUACCUGAUCAGAAAGCCACGGCUAACUACGUG